CAAUAGCGUAUAUUUAAGUUGCUGCAGUUAAAAAGCUCGUAGUUGGAUUUCGGGUGGGAAUGGCCGGUCCGCCGUUUCGGUGUGCACUUGCUACGCCCACCUUGCUGCCGGGGACGUGCUCUUGAGUUCACGCUCGGGACACGGAGUCGGCGAGGUUACUUUGAGUAAAUUAGAGUGUUCAAAGCAGGCUAUCGCUCUGAAUACUACAGCAUGGAAUAACACGAUAGGACUCCGAGCCUAUUCUGUUGGUCUUCGGGACCGGAGUAAUGAUUAAGAGGGACAGUUGGGGGCAUUCGUAUUCCGAUGUCAGAGGUGAAAUUCUUGGAUUAUCGGAAGACGAACAUCUGCAAAAGCAUUUGCCAAGGAUGUUUUCAUUAA
rnacentral:rRNA from 1 species